rnacentral:tRNA from 1 species
UGCCUGCUUAGCUCAGUUGGUCAGAGCGUCCGUCUCAUACGCGGAAUGUCACUAGUUCAAAUCUAGUAGCAGGCACCC